rnacentral:lncRNA from 1 species
CACAACUCCAGGGCAAAACAAUAAUCCCUUGUUUGCAAUGACAACACCGGGGUGUGUGGACAGCGUCUUGUCCUCACAGGGACCCGUGUUCUGGGUAUGGAUUUGUCUUCCUCGCCUGGAGGGCUUCUACCAACACUACCGUUUCCAGAUUUAGACACUGCCCGGAUUUCCAGGUCCAGGAACCAAGGAGAGAUGAUACAGCACGAGGUUUCUGUAAGCCAGGAAGAGAGCUCUUAUCAGAACCCCAAAAUGCUGGCACCCUGAUCUCAGACUUUCAGCCCCAGAACUGCAGAACUCUGAGAAAUAAAUGUCUAUUGCUUAAGCCACC